rfam:Sorghum bicolor cultivar BTx623 chromosome 1, whole genome shotgun sequence.
CCCAAGUUUGACCACUCGUCUUAUUUAAAGUUUUGUACAAAAUAUUACUUUUUUUAUUGUGUAUUAGUUUAUUAAUAAAAGUUCUUCAAAAAUGACUUAAAUUUGACUAUAUUUGUACAAAUUUUUUGAAUAAGACGAGUGGUCAAACUUGGG